rnacentral:lncRNA from 1 species
CCACUUUGACAAUAUUUACUUAAGUAUUUCCCCCCACCUCACUCACACACAUGCUCCCCCACACUGGUUCCCUUAAAUAGUUCCAGUAGAAUUUUUUUUUUCCCUUAAGAAAGGAAAGAGAAAGUCCAACCACUACGGCAAUACUUUUAAGCUCUACUAAAUGAUCGUAUCCUUUCUGGCUUCGAAACUUUUGUACCUAAAAAUCGAGAGAGGCGCUGCAUUUUUUCAGUUGAAACUGUCAAAACUUGGAGAAGGGGGACCUCGGAGGCAGGCAGGAGAGGAGGAGAAUCCUGAAAACUCGGUGGAGGUUGGGAAGAUGCUGUGCCUCGAGGAUUAGUUUAAACAGGGGGCUAUAAAAGAUGUAACAGAUGCAAACUGUAACACAAGGGCCAUUAACCCUUUCUCUGCCGGGCACACUCAGUCCCCACGCCCCACACCUAUUGUCUCCUGUGCUAGAAGCUUUGCAGAAAACCUGGAAAGUAUUUGCCAAGUCCUAAUUGCUGAAUAUAAUGAAUUGGAACUAGAUGCGAAAAUAGAGCAGGACCUCUCCCCUUGAUGAGUUUUUAUUCCAGCCAUAUAAUUCUCAAUAAAACUUUUCCUGGGCUGGAUAGCAAAGGACACCUUUGGUUACCUGAAUGAACAGGUACAGGGGAAAUUAUUUGGGGGAGGGAAAAAGGAGAGAAAAGCAAGGAGAGAGAGUGUGAGUGUAAGAGAAAGCGAAGAAGCCACUCUUGAGAAAAGCUUGCCAUAAAGGAGCUAAACCCACCUGAAAUUCCUACCCACGGACACCCCUUCUCACUUCAGACUCACAUCCCCACUCAAAAUGAGAAAAUUAGAAAAGGAGGAUGGAGGACGAGCACACCAAAAAGGGAUAAAAAGAGAGAAAAGGGGAGGAAAAAAAACCUACCUGCGAAGUCUUGUUUGUAGUUUUGGCCAGAAAUGGUGAGAAGAAAAAGCAUGAAGAAGCCGCGAAGUGUGGGGGAGAAAAAGGUGGAAGCGAAGAAACAGCUCCCGGAGCAAACUGUACAAAAACCUCGCCAAGAGUGUCGGGAGGCAGGACCGUUAUUCCUGCAGAGCAGGAGAGAGACGAGAGACCCUGAAACACGCGCCACCUAUCUUUGUGGGGAGGGAUAAUUGAAGCGCCCUGAGCGUGAGCAUCAUGUGAAAACGUGAUCGCCAAGUUUCUCUCUGGGAAAGGAUCUGGGAUAGAUUAUACCUUGAAGUCUCCGCAAACGCUUUAGUGGAAGAAAUGAAAUUCCACCUCCCUCCCUUCCUCCUCUCCCUCCCUUUCGCCUUCGCCUCCCUCCCCCCUCCCUCCCUUCUCCCCCCCUCCACCCCCCCCUCCCCGCCCGUCAAGCCUUUGGCAUCAUUAUCCUCAUCACUAAAUCCUACAGAGUACAGGGCGGAAAACGGUGCACACCAUUCACAGAACUGGAGAACUCCAAGGGGCGAAAGUUAAAGGGAAAGAUCCCGGGUCCUCAAUCCAGAUAGUCUCUUCUUAUACAGAUAUCUCUAAUGACCAGAUUUGAGAUGCACAUCAAAUUGUGUAGGUAUCUCAGUACAGCUUCUGGAACAAAGUUCUCUGCCCUUUCUCUUAUUGUUAUUUUUUUCUUUUUAGGUACCAGAGCCAGAAAAAAAAAUGCUGCAUGGGAGCUGCAUCUUAGGGCAUGUGUAUUAGGGUGUGUGCAUGAUGAAUUUCUGGACUGGAUCCCAAUAUUAAAAAGUAGUUUGGCAUUUUAAUAAAGGGUCUCUAAGUAAAUUAAAAUAGAACACUCGGUUGGCCGAUCUCUGAAUCUCUCUACACCUCGGGGAGACCUCACUACAAAGUAAGGGAGAGUGUGUAGGGAGGCAGGAGGAGAAACGAGAAAGGCCAUAGAGAAACUUAGCAGGGAAGGGAGAGCAUGAUAUUAAACGGCAUGGGGUCUAAGUUUUGGAGUAUAUAUUUUUUGAUAUUACAAUUAAAGUAAGAUUAAAAAGAAAAGACUCCACCUUUGCUCUGAAGGGAUUGGUUAUGCAAAUAUGGAAGGGAUUUCCUGGAGAAUACAGCUUUCUACUGUAUGGUUAAUUAAAUAAUCACUCAAAAGCUUCCAACGUGACGCUUCUGUCGUAAUCCAAUCAGGUUACAUAGGUCCUAAACAAGAAAGAUAUUUUCCACAUCUGGAAGUCAGCAAUUUAGCAAGUACUGCACAUUAUUAACCAAUUCAGAGCCCACUUCCCAGGGGAAUUUUUUUGAAGUUUAAGUGUUCUUAACCAAUGCUCUGCUGUUUUGUUAAUCAAAAAGCUGGUUUACACUGCACAUAAUUGGAACUAAUAUAGAAGUAAAUAAAGACAGCCAAAUUUGA